UUUGGCCAGUUAUUAUCCAUAGUUUCACUGAGAAAUUGUGAGGAUUGCUGGAGAAAUGGUUGUUGAAGAUGACAGAACUAGUGGAAAUGGCAAAAUUAACUUGUUUGGUUAAUGAACGAUUAACAGGAUUUAUUUUGUCUAGAAUAGGGGUGUCAAACUGGCAGCCCAAGGGCCAGAUGUAUCAAGCGGAGGCCACACCCAACCCAGCUCCACGAAGGUGGAAAAAUAUCACAAAAUGUCACAUGAUGGCAAUGUGACACUGUGACUUUGACACUCGUGGUCUUCAAAUAGAAAUAUUCAUUCCAAAAGGCCUUUUCCACACCUAAAAUAUCACCACUACUUUCUGUCAUGUUCCAGAAACCAAGAAAAAGGUGCAGAGUUACUUUUAAGUAGUUUCCUUUAUUGUUCUUACCUAUAGGCAGAAAUCUUGCAAACUAAAACUACUAUCUACAUCAUUCUGUAAAAUUUUAGGGAGGCACAAUCUUGACCCGCUUUCUCCCAGCUAAACUAUCUGGACUUCAUUGUGUCUUGAUCCUCUGAAAUACAGCCACUCUCUCUGGAUCUCUAGACUAUCUUCCACCACAGUUCUUUUCUUAAAGUUGAUAUUUGCAGUACAUUUAUGAUGAACUCAUUGUUGUCUAUGAUGUAUUUUCCUCUUUGGAAUAUAACCUUUUGGUGUAGUAGAUUCUAAUUUGAAAAUAUUCUCUCUUGUACACUUAACAUAUUUAAUGAUAAAUUGUCAGGGUAAUGAUGAUUUAGUUGUUGUAAUGCUGUAAUAAUGCUGCAACGGUUAGACUGAGUCUGCAGGGUUAUUUGACAGUUAUCACUUUAAGAAUCUGUAUUAUAAGAGAGGCCCUAUUGGAGCGUAUCUCUCUCUCUCCAUGUGUUCUUCCCUGCUGUAGCUGCUGGUCGAUUGUUUGACUUUUGCCUACUAUGUGUAUGUAUAUUAUUUUGUAGAGAUAAACCAUUAUUUAUUAUUACAAACUUCCUUUUGAUGUUAUUGCUCCUGGGUUGUGCGCACUCUGGCAUACAUAUCUUAUAUAAUCAAUGUUCAAUAAAUAAAUUUGUCUCUA